AUUGAACGCUGGCGGCAUGCUUUACACAUGCAAGUCGAACGGCAGCGCGGGCUUCGGCCUGGCGGCGAGUGGCGAACGGGUGAGUAAUGCAUCGGAACGUGCCCAGUAGUGGGGGAUAGCCCGGCGAAAGCCGGAUUAAUACCGCAUACGACCUGAGGGUGAAGGCGGGGGACCGAAAGGCCUCGCGCUAUUGGAGCGGCCGAUGUCGGAUUAGCUAGUUGGUGGGGUAAAGGCUUACCAAGGCGACGAUCCGUAGCUGGUCUGAGAGGACGACCAGCCACACUGGAACUGAAACACGGCCCAGACUCCUACGGGAGGCCGCAGGAGGGAAUUUUGCACAAUGGGCGAAAGCCUGACCGAGCAACGCCGCGGGAGGGAAGAAGGUCUUCGGAUCGUAAAACUCUGUUAUUAGGGAAGAACAUCUGUGGAAGUAACCGUGGGGGGCUUGACGGUACCGAAUAAGAAAGCCACGGCUAACUACGUG
rnacentral:rRNA from 1 species